GUCUUUUUGAAAUAAAUUUAAAGUCUAACCUGCCCACUGAAAUUUUUAAAUGGCCGCAGUAUUCUAACUGUGCAAAGGUAGCAUAAUCAUUAGUCUUUUAAUUGAAGGCUGGAAUGAAUGGUUGGACGAAAUAUUAACUGUUUCAUUUAAAUUUUUUAUAGAAUUUUAUUUUUUAGUUAAAAAGCUAAAAUUUAUUUAAAAGACGAGAAGACCCUAUAAAUCUUUAUAUUUUGUUUAUUUUAAUUAUAAAGAUUAUUUUUAUUAUAAUAAAUUAAAAUAUUUUAUUGGGGUGAUAUUAAAAUUUAAAAAACUUUUAAUUUUUUAAAACCAUUAAUAUAUGAGUAAUUGAUCCAUUUAUAAUGAUUAAAAAUUUAAGUUACUUUAGGGAUAACAGCGUAAUUUUUUUGGAGAGUUCAUAUCGAUAAAAAAGAUUGCGACCUCGAUGUUGGAUUAAGAUAUAAUUUUGGGUGUAGCCGUUCAAAUUUUAAGUCUGUUCGACUUUUAAAUUCUU
rnacentral:rRNA from 1 species